rnacentral:rRNA from 1 species
GCAAGUCGAGCGAGCAAGGUCUUCGGACUGAGUAGAGCGGCGAACGGGUGAGUAACACGUAAAUAACGUACCCUUCAGUUCGGGACAACCUUGCUAACGCGAGGCUAAUACCGGAUGUGGUUGUAAGUCUUCCUGGACUAACAAUUAAAACUACGGUGCUUAAGGAUGGAUUUGCGGACUAUUAGCUAGUUGGUAAGGUAAUGGCUUACCAAGGCGAUGAUAGAUAGCCGGCCUGAGAGGGUGAUC